rnacentral:rRNA from 1 species
UGCAGUCGAGCGGCAGCGACAUCAACAAUCCUUCGGGUGCGUUGAUGGGCGGCGAGCGGCGGACGGGUGAGUAAUGCCUGGGAACAUGCCUUAGUGUGGGGGAUAACCAUUGGAAACGAUGGCUAAUACCGCAUAAUGUCUUCGGACCAAAGCGGGGGACCUUCGGGCCUCGCGCGCUAAGAUUGGCCCAGGUGGGAUUAGCUAGUAGGUGGGGUAACGGCUCACCUAGGCGACGAUCCCUAGCUGGUCUGAGAGGAUGAUCAGCCACACUGGAACUGAGACACGGUCCAGACUCCUACGGGAGGCAGCAGUGGGGAAUAUUGCACAAUGGGGGAAACCCUGAUGCAGCCAUGCCGCGUGUGUGAAGAAGGCCUUCGGGUUGUAAAGCACUUUCAGCAGUGAGGAAGAGGUGGUGUUUAAUAGAUACCAUCUUUGACGUUAGCUGCAGAAGAAGCACCGGCUAACUCCGUGCCAGCAGCCGCGGUAAUACGGAGGGUGCGAGCGUUAAUCGGAAUUACUGGGCGUAAAGCGCAUGCAGGCGGCGUGUUAAGCCAGAUGUGAAAGCCCGGGGCUCAACCUCGGAAUCGCAUUUGGAACUGGCAUGCUAGAGUCUUGUAGAGGGGGGUAGAAUUUCAGGUGUAGCGGUGAAAUGCGUAGAGAUCUGAAGGAAUACCGGUGGCGAAGGCGGCCCCCUGGACAAAGACUGACGCUCAGAUGCGAAAGCGUGGGGAGCAAACAGGAUUAGAUACCCUGGUAGUCCACGCCGUAAACGAUGUCUACUUGGAGGUUGGUGUCUUGAACACUGGCUUUCGGAGCUAACGCGUUAAGUAGACCGCCUGGGGAGUACGGUCGCAAGAUUAAAACUCAAAUGAAUUGACGGGGGCCCGCACAAGCGGUGGAGCAUGUGGUUUAAUUCGAUGCAACGCGAAAAAACCUUACCUACUCUUGACAUCCAGAGAACUUUCCAGAGAUGGAAUGGGUGCCCUCCGGAAACUCUGAAAACAGGGGGCUGCAUGGCCUGUCCUCCAGCUCCGGGUUGGGAAAAUGUUGGGGUUAAGUCCCCGCAACGAAGGGCAACCCUUUAUUCCUUGGUUGGCCAGCACCUUCCGGUUGGGUAACCUCAAGGGAAAACUGGCCGGUGGAAUAAACCCGGAAGGAAAGGUG